CUGGGGGAUAACACUUAGAAAUAGGUGCUAAUACCGCAUAAGCGCACAGCUUCGCAUGAAGCAGUGUGAAAAACUGAGGUGGUAUACGAUGGUUCCGCGUCUGAUUAGCUAGUUGGUGGGGUAAAAGCCUACCAAGGCGACGAUCAGUAGCCGGCCUGAGAGGGUGAACGGCCACAUUGGGACUGAGACACGGCCCAAACUCCUACGGGAGGCAGCAGUGGGGAAUAUUGCACAAUGGGGGAAACCCUGAUGCAGCGACGCCGCGUGAGUGAAGAAGUAUUUCGGUAUGUAAAGCUCUAUCAGCAGGGAAGAAAUACUGACCAUAGGGUCAGCAGACGGUACUUGACUAAGAAGCCCCGGCUAACUACGUGCCAGCAGCCGCGGUAAUACGUAGGGGGCAAGCGUUAUCCGGAUUUACUGGGUGUAAAGGGAGCGUAGACGGCAGCGCAAGUCUGAAGUGAAAUGCCAGGGCUUAACCCUGGAACUGCUUUGGAAACUGUGCAGCUAGAGUGCAGGAGAGGUAAGUGGAAUUUCUAGUGUAGCGGUGAAAUGCGUAGAUAUUAGGAGGAACACCAGUGGCGAAGGCGGCUUACUGGACUGUAACUGACGUUGAGGCUCGAAAGCGUGGGGAGCAAACAGGAUUAGAUACCCUGGUAGUCCACGCUGUAAACGAUGAUUACUAGGUGUUGGGGGACCCAAGGUUCUUCGGUGCCGUCG
rnacentral:rRNA from 1 species